UCAUCCUGUCAUGCAAGCUCCUUCCUGGUGGGAGGGGGGCUGUGAAGGUGCUGGAUGCCAAGAAGCUACCUUCCCGCUCAGACCAAGGGCCGGCUAAAAACGCGACAAUUCCUGGUUGCUGUGGCAACAGCGUCCGCGCAGAGACAAAGCACUGCAGCAGCGAUCAGACUGCACCCCCUCAUCUCGGCAACGGGCACGGUGCAUCUUCGGUGAAAGAGAAAGAAAAACAAAACUCAAUUUAAGAGCGGAUUAAGGUGCCGCCUAAACAUAUGAAGACUAAUAUCAGGCGCCUGGCAUCCUCGGCUGCUGCAGGAAGGAGCUCCUUUGUGUCAAUGUUUAUCCCAGUUUGCUGGUUACCUGUUUUCAACAUUACCGAAACUUCCAUUUCUUUGCGUAAUUCUACUGAGUAAUUGAACAGGUCCUUUCAACUGCUGUGCUGGAUAUCUGGUCCUUCUUUUGAAGAUGACAGCAAUUCAAGGUCAGGAGUUUCAUCCAUGGGUUUUUAAGACAUUGAAUGGGCUGAUUCAGAUCUUUUGGCACGUGAACCAGGACAUCCAAAAAGGUGGUGGCAUCCAGAGUGCAAGAUUUGCUUAUAUUUUUUUUCCUCUACUGCCAGGCAAUACGUCAUCUUUAAGAUGUUGUGACUCAAAGCAACUUGAUGAACAAGUUGUCACCAUUCUGAACAAUUGGUAGCAAGUUCUUUGCAGCAAUUAAUUUUAAUGCUGCUGCACUUCAGGGAAAAUUUUAACCAUGGACCUCCAUGCCCAGAACUUCCCUGGAACAUCGGGUUGUUUGAGAGCGAAGAAAACCGGCGGGAAAAUGCUUUUCAAUCAUCAAGCAUCAAGUCUAUCAAAGUUGAUUUAGCAGGAGUUUUUCCUGAAUGUUUGUGGAGCUGAUAUCAAGAAAGACACUAGUGUCAAUUCACCAGUUCUCCCAUUGAAACCUGAGGGACGGAAGCAUUGCUGAUAUAAGUUCUUUAUCACUGUUAUGUAUCAGCUGUUAUACUUCAAAAGAUAACUUAAUAUAAAAAGAUUUUUUAAGUCCAGACUCUUAAUGUGAGAGCUUUUCUUUAGUUAACCACACUCCAUAACC